rnacentral:tRNA from 1 species
GGGCGCGUAGCUCAGUUGGCCAGAGCGGUCCGUUUACACCGGACAGGUCCCCCGUUCGAAUCGGGGCGCGCCCACCG